CCUACGGGAGGCAGCAGUGAGGAAUAUUGGUCAAUGGACGCAAGUCUGAACCAGCCAUGCCGCGUGCAGGAAGACGGCUCUAUGAGUUGUAAACUGCUUUUGUACGAGGGUAAACGCAGAUACGCGUAUCUGUCUGAAAGUAUCGUACGAAUAAGGAUCGGCUAACUCCGUGCCAGCAGCCGCGGUAAUACGGAGGAUUCAAGCGUUAUCCGGAUUUAUUGGGUUUAAAGGGUGCGUAGGCGGUCGGAUAAGUUAGAUGUGAAAUCCCGAGGCUCAACUUCGGAAUUGCCUCUGAUACUGGUAGGCUAGAGAGUAGUUGCGGUAGGCGGAAUGUGUGGUGUAGCGGUGAAAUGCUUAGAGAUCAUACAGAACACCGAUUGCGAAGGCAGCUUACCAAGCUACUUCUGACGUUGAGGCACGAAAGCGUGGGGAGCAAACAGGAUUAGAUACCCUUGUAGUC
rnacentral:rRNA from 1 species